rfam:Poecilia formosa, whole genome shotgun sequence.
GUUCCUGUAGCGUAGUGGUUAUCACGUUUGCUUUACGUGCAAUAGGUCUCUGGUUCGAAACCAGAGAGAAACA